rnacentral:rRNA from 1 species
UACGUAGGGGGCUAGCGUUGUCCGGAUUUAUUGGGCGUAAAGAGCGUGUAGGCGGCCAGGUAGGUCUGCUGUGAAAACUCGAGGCUCAACCUCGAGAUGUCGGCGGAAACCAUCUGGCUAGAGUCCGGAAGAGGAAAGUGGAAUUCCUGGUGUAGCGGUGAAAUGCGUAGAUAUCUGGAGGAAUACCGGUGGCGAAGGCGGCAUCCUGGACCGGCAUUGACGCUGAGGAGCGAAAGCUAGGGGAGCAAACGGG